rfam:Absidia repens strain NRRL 1336 BCR42scaffold_28, whole genome shotgun sequence.
GGGGUCGUGGUCUAGUGGUAUGGCGUUCGCUUUGCAUGCGAAAAAUCCGGGGUUCAAUUCCCUGCGGCUCCA